GCCAGCCUGGGUGACAGAGCAAGAUCCAUCUCCAAAAAAAAAAAAGUAUUUUCUUUAUAAUAAAAUUACGUCUAGUUAUAUGCAUUAUGAAGUAGGAAGAGUUGUCAUCAAGGCUGAUGGACUAUUUUAUGUGAUUAUGAGAUGGGGUAUGCCGUUUCUAGAAUUAACACAGAUUGACCUUAGUAAGAAUGACCACACAAUGCAGACAGGCCUGAUGGGGAUUCAUUCCUAUACUCUCCCCUGUAAAAUCCGCAUGGCUUGGAGCCUCAGUUGAUGCCUUAGAGCAGCCAUCAGCAAACUUUUU